CUGGUUGAUCCUGCCAGUAGUCAUAUGCUUGUCUCAAAGAUUAAGCCAUGCAAGUCUAAGUAUAAGCAUUUAUACUGUGAAACUGCGGAAAGCUCAUUAUAUCAGUUAUAGUUUAUUUGAUGGUAAACCCACUACAUGGAUAACCGUAGUAAUUCUAGAGCUAAUACAUGCCCAGAAGCGGCGACUUCGGAAGCCGUGGACUUAUUAGAUCAAGAGCCAACCCUGCUUGCAGGACUAAGCUGAAUCAUAGUAAUUUUGCUAAUCGCAGUGGUCUCGUACCGGCGAUGGGUCAUUCAAAUUUCUGCCCUAUCAGCUGUGAUGUUAGUGUAGUGGACUAACAUGGCAUAAACGGGUGACGGAGGAUUAGGGUCUGAUUCCGGAGAGGGAGCCUGAGAAAUGGCUACCACUUCCAAGGAAGGCAGCAGGCGCGUAAAUUACCCAAUCCCGACACGGGGAGGUAGUGACAAGAAAUAACAAUACCGGAUCUUUUUAGAUCUGGUAAUUGGAAUGAGUACAACUUAAAAUCCUUAACAAGGACCCAUUGGAGGACAAGUCUGGUGCCA
rnacentral:rRNA from 1 species